UACGUAGGGGGCAAGCGUUAUCCGGAUUUACUGGGUGUAAAGGGAGCGUAGACGGCGAUGCAAGCCAGAUGUGAAAGCCCGGGGCUCAACCCCGGGACUGCAUUUGGAACUGUAUAGCUAGAGUGUCGGAGAGGCAGGCGGAAUUCCUAGUGUAGCGGUGAAAUGCGUAGAUAUUAGGAGGAACACCAGUGGCGAAGGCGGCUUACUGGACUGUAACUGACGUUGAGGCUCGAAAGCGUGGGGAGCAAACAGG
rnacentral:rRNA from 1 species